GAUGAACGCUGGCUACAGGCUUAACACAUGCAAGUCGAGGGGAAACGACGGGGAAGCUUGCUUCCCCGGGCGUCGACCGGCGCACGGGUGAGUAACGCGUAUCCAACCUGCCUCUGACUGAGGGAUAACCCGUCGAAAGUCGGCCUAAUACCUCAUGGUAUCGUCUGCGGGCAUCCAACGACGAUUAAAGAUUUCAUCGGUCAGGGAUGGGGAUGCGUCUGAUUAGCUUGUUGGCGGGGUAACGGCCCACCAAGGCUACGAUCAGUAGGGGUUCUGAGAGGAAGGUCCCCCACAUUGGAACUGAGACACAGUCCACACUCCUACGGGAGGCAGCAGUGAGGAAUACUGGGCAAUGGGCGAGAGCCUGAACCAGCCAAGUAGCGUGCAGGAAGACGGCCCUAUGGGUUGUAAACUGCUUUUAUGCGGGGAUAAAGUGAGGGACGUGUCCCUCAUUGCAGGUACCGCAUGAAUAAGGACCGGCUAAUUCCGUG
rnacentral:rRNA from 1 species